AAGGCCUCGUUGGUGGUUGAUGGGCAUCAGCCCAUGGAAUCAAGGAAACCCUGGGGUUAGGGGCACUAGUGUAGGAAGGCCAUACUGUCCCCACCCAUCGCAAAGGGUUCUGCUCAGAGCCCCUUUGACCAUGGCCUGUCAGAAUGACCUUUUUCUAUUCUGUAUACAGUAUGGGGGCACUGUGUCUUUGUAGAACUCCCGUCUUUGUCCUGCUGUAGGGUAAUACUGUGUGGAGCUCACCCAUCCAUUGGAUAGUGACCAGGGUAACCAAGCUAACAAUGCCAUGGUUGAGCAAAGCCACAAGCAGUGUCUUCACAGAAGGCACUCAGCUUUUCCAGAUGCUUCUGAGAAGAUGAGAGUGAGCCAUACUCCAUCAUAAGAUCUACUGGGCAGAUGAGGAACAGGGCCUUGAUAGGAGGGAAAGAGAUUGGUUUGAGAAAGGGCAGCUGGAGUCACCCAGGCUCAAGUCUCCUUGGCUGGCACAAACUGCAACACACACCUCACACAUGCAGAGUGCUCAUGUGGGUUCUAGAAAGUCAAGUGUUCCUUCCUAGUGUUAGGAGGAGAGAGAGAGAGAGAGAGAGAGAGAGAGAGAGAAAGAGAAUAUCCCAGGCUUGCCCAGGGGAAUGCCUAGAGACUACUAAGGAAAGAAAGAGGAUGGCUCUGUCUCCCUUUAGCAUGAAGACUGGGUGAUGGGGAACUAAGCACAUUAGAAGGCUGAGGUGCUAGGGAGUUGGGAAGGCCCCUCUGUAAACAGAUGACCAGGGUAUGUCUUGUGGAACAGGCAUAGGGGGCAGUGGUAUAGGCUGACUGUGUGAGCAGCUAGAAGAAUACAGGGCACAGAGAAAGCAGAGGAGAGAUUUUAAAUUGGCAUGGUGAGGUCUGAGGGACAUUUGAAAGACAGAAGAUGGGGUUUGACUAAGGAACCAUCCUGGCUGAUUUUGGCAGCAAGUGGGGACUGGCACCUUCAAGGAGACAAGCAAGGCCACCUGAGGGUGCUUUGUGCCCAAGCCGAGCAGCCCCAUCGCUGGAUUUGUCAGUGGGAACGAACUCCAUAGCGAUCUACUUUUUCCUCCAGGAGUCUUCUUUGGGUCACCUACUGCGCUUCUCGGAAGGCAUGGCAGCUGUUGAGUACAGCUCUCCGUCAUCUCACGCACCGUCAUCAGGAUUAAGCAGCAAGAACAUUUUCAGAGACUGACUUUGAGAAUAAGCAAUUGUGCACAAGAGUAAAUAUUGAAUCCUGGCAGCCUGUUAGCAAAGACUUAAAAAUGAACCGCAAAUCUAAUUUCCUAAGCCUGUUCAGAUUGUAGCUUUGUCAUUACUAAGUCCCUCAGUUUGAAUUAUGAAAUACGCCUGAACCAUUGAAUAUUCAGAUUAUAAUCUUAGCAGAGGUGAAUAUAGCUGCCAAUGCUGUGUUUAAACCUCAUAUAUAACAGGACGCACACACACGGCAUCUGGAUCCUCUGCUGAGCGUCGAUUAAAAUGUUCAUUUGUGGAAGGCUGAUGAUUUUGCUUAACUUUUUUAUUCUCUUUUGUAAAUUAAGAAACCAGUAAGAGUAGGACUUUAUUCUAUCAAUGGGUUUGCUCCAUGUCACAGAUUUCAUGUACAGGGUCACUUGGAAUAGAAUGUGUAGAGAAAGAAUCUCAUUAGGCUAAAAUGAGUGUAAAAUGUGUCAAUUUGAUCCAAAUGAGAAUUGUAGUA
rnacentral:lncRNA from 1 species